rnacentral:tmRNA from 1 species
GGGGGCGCAUUUGGUUUCGACGUGGGUGUUGAACCCUGGGGUGCAUGUCGAGGGGGUAGCUUUCCUCGUAAAUCCAGCUGCAAGACUUAUAGUCGCCAACGACGAAGUCUACGCUCAAGCGGCCUAAGGCCGCUUAAUCCGCCCCACCUUGUGUCCAUGCUCGGUGCAUGCGGAUCAGAAUCAUGGAAUCGCGAGCAGACGGGUCUGACGUCGGCAGCUAAAACCACCAGACUGGCUACACGUUAUCCCCGCCGAUUGGGGCUUCGUGUAGUAAGACUAAAGAAUCGGCUAAACAUGUAGAUCUCCAGAUGUAGGGCUUGCGGACGGGGGUUCGA